AAGUCGUAACAAGGUUUCCGUAGGUGAACCUGCGGAAGGAUCAUUACAGUAUUCUUUUGCCAGCGCUUAAUUGCGCGGCGAAAAACCUUACACACUAUGUUUUUUUAAUUUGAAACUAUUGCUUUGGUCUGGCUUAGAAAUAGGUUGGGCCAAAGGUUUUAUCAAAACUUCAAUAUUUAUUAUUGAAUUGUUAUUUUUAAUUUUAUGUCAAUUUGUUGAUUAAUAUCAAAAAUCUUCAAAACUUUCAACAACGGAUCUCUUGGUUCUG
rnacentral:misc_RNA from 1 species